UCAAGCAAAAAUCUUUCCGUGGAGGUCUCGCUUGGUGUUUUAUUUUUCUCACACAAAGAAGCAACGGUAAGAGAUGGUAAGAGAUGCUCUUUUGGCAGCUGAAAUCAGAUUCCGACAGAGGAAAUCAGAUCUCGACGUAGGAAAGACAGAUUUAUUCACUGAUUUGUGGGCAAGUUGUCACCUACAAAUGGAUCCAUAAAGUCUUGUUGCAGUCCUAACUGCGUUCAUAGUUUUCCAACGUCUGCUACUGCUAACAUUGAAGAUUAUCCAAGCGCGAAGGAUUUUCUCUUCCCAUACAAAGGCUAAAGAUACCACUUGCAAGAGUGGCGUGGCGUUGGAAAUGCACCGACCACUGCGAAAGAAUAUUUCAACAUGAAACACUCAUCCACAAGAAAUUUCAUUGAAUGCACGUUCAGUCUUCUCAAGGGUCAUUGGGUAGUACUUCGUGGAAAGUCGUACUAUCCUCUCCAAGUGCAGUGUCGCACCAUCUUAGCAUGUUGCCCACUGCACAAUUUGAUUAAUAGAAAAAUGACGAAUGACGAAGACUUAGACGAUAUUGACGAGGGAGACUCAGCAUACGCGAUAACCACCGCAAGUGACAACAUUCAGUACAUUAAAACCACGAACGAGUGGACUCAGUGGUAGGAUGAAUUAGCUAAAGUGAUGUUCUCGAAUGGCAGUUGCGUAACAAGUAGAUAAAACCAUUUGA